GACGAACGCUGGCGGCGUGCUUAACACAUGCAAGUCGAACGAAGUGGCGAACGGGUGAGUAACGCGUACUCAACCUGCCCUUCAGCGGGGGACAACAGUUGGAAACGACUGCUAAUACCGCAUACUGAAGGAGGGGAUUGCGUCUGAUUGGCUAGUUGGAGGGGUAACGGCCCACCAAGGCGAUGAUCAGUAGCCGGUCUGGGAGGAGGAACGGCCAAAUUGGAACUGAGAAACGGCCCAGCCUCCUACGGGAGGCAGAAGGGGGGAACUUUCCGCAAUGGACGAAAGUCUGACGGAGCAACGCCGCGUGAGUGAUGACGGCCUUCGGGUUGUAAAGCUCUGUUAAUCGGGACGCGGUACCGGAAUAGAAAGCCACGGCUAACUACGUGCCAGCAGCCGCGGUAAUUC
rnacentral:rRNA from 1 species